CGGCGGACGGGUGAGUAACGCGUGGGUAACCUGCCUCAUACAGGGGGAUAACAGUUAGAAAUGACUGCUAAUACCGCAUAAGACCACAGCACCGCAUGGUGCAGGGGUAAAAACUCCGGUGGUAUGAGACGGACCCGCGUCUGAUUAGGUAGUUGGUGAGGUAACGGCUCACCAAGCCGACGAUCAGUAGCCGACCUGAGAGGGUGACCGGCCACAUUGGGACUGAGACACGGCCCAA
rnacentral:rRNA from 1 species